rnacentral:rRNA from 1 species
UACAGAGGUCUCAAGCGUUGUUCGGAUUCAUUGGGCGUAAAGGGUGCGUAGGUGGCGCCGUAAGUGGGGUGUGAAAUUUCGGAGCUUAACUCCGAAACUGCAUUCCAUACUGCGGUGCUUGAGGACUGGAGAGGAGACUGGAAUUUACGGUGUAGCAGUGAAAUGCGUAGAGAUCGUAAGGAAGACCAGUGGCGAAGGCGGGGUCUCUGGACAGUUCCUGACACUGAGGCACGAAGGCCAGGGGAGCAAACGGG